rnacentral:lncRNA from 1 species
GAAGAAACAACUCAGGCAGUGACUCGAAUUGCAGGAGACAACGAGCAGAGGCUGGGACAUACUGGGACGGAGCUUGAAAUCUCGAAUGUUGGAGGAGGGGACGUGCCUGCUCCNAACUCGAAUUGCAGGAGACAACGAGCAAGACAACGAGCAAAGGCUGAGACGUACUGGGACGGAGCUUGAAAUCUCGAAUGUUGGAGGAGGGGACGUGCCUGCUCCCCGACGAGGUCUGGGACGUCUGUUCCUCUGCACACGCAUUUUGUACAGCGCGGUGCAUUCCUCUACACAGUACGGUGCUGUUGGGCUCGUUCCAUACAUGCCUAGGCUCGGCGGACGAGAGAGAGCCUGAAAUCCAAGAGGCCAAGAAGCAAAGGCCGGUCACAGACGGGACCAAGGUGGGCGUCCAGGGACCAGAGAGCCCGAGCACGGGGGGAAGAGGUGCAGGAGAUAAGCAGGUAGAGGCCAGGAUUGGGGAUUAUGCCCGCGCUGAUCCUAAAUGCCCGUCGGAUGGCCGCUCCUGCAGCUUAGCAUCACGGGAGCAGCUCCUGACACUCCUACGUGCUGAUCCUUCCUGAACCACGUCCGCGUCUUAAACUUUCUCAGGGCCACGCGGCCCAUGUAGAGAGGUGUGCGGGCACCCACUUAAUCUGGGGGCACCUCCGAGGUAGGGGCAGCGGGGCGCGCCUGCAAGGAGUAGGGGGCACUGGGAGCUCAGGGUAAGAGGCUGAGAAGGAGGCUCCGAAGACAGGCGCCGGAAGGUUUGCACAGAAGCAAGGCGACCACCGUCACCCAAGAUGAAUCCCCAGCUCCCCCGCCCCGUGCCCUCUGGUUUGCAUCAUUUUCAAAUAUCAAAAGCAGCCACGAGCUCACGUGGAGCCCCGGGGAGAGAGCAUUCCGCCUUGUUGACACUCCCCAGAUGGCUCCAGCCACCACAGUUCUCUCUCUCUUGUGACUUUUUUACCAGAACGAAAUCAUCUUGUCUGGGGCUGCCUCUGCCUGCGUUUUGUUAUUGUUCAUGGUCUCCUUGAGAGCGAAGUGUGAGGCAGCUAAAAGCAUUCCUUUGGAGAUGCUAUCUAAUCAGCCAGGGACUUGCGGGGCCCCUGGAGUGGACGGAAGGACGCACCCCUGCAAGGGCCACCCCCACCCGCACACCCCCUCCGUGCUGGAGGCUCGGCAGGUAGCAGGGAAAUUUCUCGGUUUGGGCGGUUUGGCUUUUUACGGCCAUCGGUCCUGAAUGCGUGACAGUGUUGCAUUUUUAAUUAUGAUGAUGUUAAAUGAACUUAAUGGGUGACUCUCUCCCGAUUCACAGAGCGUUUUUAUAACAUUUAUUAAAAAAGGCCAAAGUUUAUUUUACAAUCCGUAAUAAACGGGGACACAAAAAUGCA